rnacentral:rRNA from 1 species
CCUACGGGAGGCAGCAGUGAGGAAUAUUGGACAAUGGGCGCAAGCCUGAUCCAGCCAUGCCGCGUGCAGGAUGACGGUCCUAUGGAUUGUAAACUGCUUUUAUACGAGAAGAAACACCCCUACGUGUAGGGACUUGACGGUAUCGUAAGAAUAAGGAUCGGCUAACUCCGUGCCAGCAGCCGCGGUAAUACGGAGGAUCCAAGCGUUAUCCGGAAUCAUUGGGUUUAAAGGGUCCGUAGGCGGUUUAGUAAGUCAGUGGUGAAAUCUCCCCGCUCAACGGGGAAACGGCCAUUGAUACUGCUAGACUUGAAUUAUUAGGAAGUAACUAGAAUAUGUAGUGUAGCGGUGAAAUGCUUAGAGAUUACAUGGAAUACCAAUUGCGAAGGCAGGUUACUACUAAUGGAUUGACGCUGAUCGGACGAAAGCGUGGGUAGCGAACAGGAUUAGAUACCCUGGUAGUCCACGCCGUAAACGAUGGAUACUAGCUGUUGGGUGCAAACUCAGUGGCUAAGCGAAAGUGAUAAGUGUCCACCUGGGGAUACGUUCGCAAGAANAGAAUAAUAGAUAGAGCGNGAGAGNGCGAGACGACGACGAGGAGGAGG